UUUGAGAUGGUUUAUUUGGUGUCCCAAAUCACCGAUUUAUUUUUGAAUUCUCAAUCGAAGAAGAUUUCGACUUUCCUUUUGAAGUCUACAACCAAAAAUUCUGAAUAAGGAAUUAUGUUAACCCGAUGAAGGUGUUACACACCCCCAGAUUCCAUGGUUCUAGUACGAUCACUUAAACUAUUACAAUUGGCUUAUUAUAUAAUUUUAAUACAUGUUUUAAUCUAUGGUACAAUUUUAACUUUAUAACCGCUUUUAUUUGUUUUAAAAAAGAUUUUAACGUCGUCUAAAACAUGUCUUUGUAAGGAUUUGGAUUUUAGCGCCACAUGAAAUCCACCCACAACACAUUUUAUUCAACGUUAUUACGAUUUGGAUUUGGGUCACAUGAAAUGCACACCCG
rnacentral:lncRNA from 1 species